CUUUUUCUUUCACCGGAGCUUGCUCCACCGAAAGAAAAGGAGUGGCGAACGGGUGAGUAACACGUGGGUAACCUGCCCAUCAGAAGGGGAUAACACUUGGAAACAGGUGCUAAUACCGUAUAACAGUAGAAACCGCAUGGUUUCUAUUUGAAAGGCGCUUUUGCGUCACUGAUGGAUGGACCCGCGGUGCAUUAGCUAGUUGGUGAGGUAACGGCUCACCAAGGCAACGAUGCAUAGCCGACCUGAGAGGGUGAUCGGCCACAUUGGGACUGAGACACGGCCCAAACUCCUACGGGAGGCAGCAGUAGGGAAUCUUCGGCAAUGGACGAAAGUCUGACCGAGCAACGCCGCGUGAGUGAAGAAGGUUUUCGGAUCGUAAAACUCUGUUGUUAGAGAAGAACAAGGAUGAGAGUAAAACGUUCAUCCCUUGACGGUAUCUAACCAGAAAGCCACGGCUAACUACGUGCCAGCAGCCGCG
rnacentral:rRNA from 1 species